GCGGGUGUAGCUCAACGGUAGAGCAGUAGCCUUCCAAGCUAUUGACGGGGGUUCGACUCCCCUCACCCGCU
rnacentral:tRNA from 2 species